GUCGUAACAAGGUUUCCGUAGGUGAACCUGCGGAAGGAUCAUUGUCG
rnacentral:rRNA from 1 species